GAUCUGCUGGAACUCAACUGACGCUAAGGCGCGAAAGCGUGGGGAGCARACAGGAUUAGAUACCCUGGUAGUCCACGCCCUAAACGAUGUACACUAGUUGUUGGGAUGCUAGUCAUCUCAGUAAUGCAGCUAACGCAUUAAGUGUACCGCCUGGGGAGUACGGUCGCAAGAUUAAAACUCAAAGGAAUAGACGGGGACCCGCACAAGCGGUGGAGCAUGUGGUUUAAUUCGAAGAUACGCGAAGAACCUUACCUGGGCUUGAUAUCCUAAGAACCUUAUAGAGAUAUGAGGGUGCUAGCUUGCUAGAACUUAGAGACAGGUGCUGCACGGCUGUCGUCAGCUCGUGUCGUGAGAUGUUGGGUUAAGUCCCGCAACGAGCGCAACCCACGUAUUUAGUUGCUAACGGUUCGGCCGAGCACUCUAAAUAGACUGCCUUCGUAAGGAGGAGGAAGGUGUGGACGACGUCA
rnacentral:rRNA from 1 species